rnacentral:rRNA from 1 species
GAUGAACGCUGGCGGCGUGCUUAACACAUGCAAGUCGAACGGAAAGGCCCAAGCUUGCUUGGGUACUCGAGUGGCGAACGGGUGAGUAACACGUGGGUGAUCUGCCCUGCACUUCGGGAUAAGCCUGGGAAACUGGGUCUAAUACCGGAUAGGACCACAUUUUGGAUGGUGUGGUGGAAAGUUUUUCGGUGUGGGAUGAGCUCGCGGCCUAUCAGCUUGUUGGUGGGGUAAUGGCUUACCAAGGCGUCGACGGGUAGCCGGCCUGAGAGGGUGUACGGCCACACUGAGUCUGAGGGGCGGCCCAGGUGCGGACUGGAGGCAGAAGGGGGGAAUCUUGCACCAGGGGCGCCAGCCUGAUGAAGCGGCGCCGCGGGGGGGAUGACGGCCUUCGGGUGGUAGACUCCUUUCGCUAGGGACGAAGCGUGAUGUGACGGUACCUGGAGAAGAAGCACCGGCUAACUACGUG